rnacentral:rRNA from 1 species
AUUGAACGCUGGCGGCAUGCUUUACACAUGCAAGUCGAACGGUAACAGGUUAAGCUGACGAGUGGCAAACGGGUGAGUAAUGCAUCGGAACGUGCCCGGUCGUGGGGGAUAACGCAGCGAAAGCUGCGCUAAUACCGCAUACGAUCUGAGGAUGAAAGCGGGGGACCGUAAGGCCUCGCGCGAUCGGAGCGGCCGAUGUCAGAUUAGGUAGUUGGUGGGGUAAAGGCUCACCAAGCCAACGAUCUGUAGCUGGUCUGAGAGGACGACCAGACACACUGGGACUGAGACACGGCCCAGACUCCUACGGGAGGCAGCAGUGGGGAAUUUUGGACAAUGGGCGAAAGCCUGAUCCAGCAAUGCCGCGUGCAGGAAGAAGGCCUUCGGGUUGUAAACUGCUUUUGUACGGAGCGAAAAGGUCUCCUCUAAUACAGGGGGCUCAUGACGGUACCGUAAGAAUAAGCACCGGCUAACUACGUGCCAGCCGCCGCAGUAA